rnacentral:rRNA from 1 species
AUUAAACGCUGGCGGCAUGCCUUACACAUGCAAGUCGAACGGCAGCACGGGGGCAACCCUGGUGGCGAGUGGCGGACGGGUGAGUAAAGCAUCGGAACGUAUCCUGGAGUGGGGGAUAACGUAGCGAAAGUUACGCUAAUACCGCAUAUUCUGUGAGCAGGAAAGCAGGGGAUCGCAAGACCUUGCGCUCUGGGAGCGGCCGAUGUCGGAUUAGCUAGUUGGUGGGGUAAAGGCCUACCAAGGCGACGAUCCGUAGCGGGGUCUGAGAGGAUGAUCCGCCACACUGGGACUGAGACACGGCCCAGACUCCUACGGGAGGCAGCAGUGGGGAAUUUUGGACAAUGGGCGCAAGCCUGAUCCAGCCAUGCCGCGUGAGUGAAGAAGGCCUUCGGGUUGUAAAGCUCUUUCGGCGGGGAAGAAAUUGCACGGGUUAAUACCUGUGUAGAUGACGGUACCCGAAUAAGAAGCACCGGCUAACUACGUGCCAGCAG